CAGAACUGCUUCGAGGAUUGGAAAAACGCUGGCACAGGUAAGACUGCAGUUACUUACUCAGAAGUUUGCUGAAAAAAACAACAAUGUAGAAAUCGUUAGAGCAUAAAGUAUGCUGUGA